UCUGUGGAAUAAGGAAUAUUUUACUGCUACUUAUGCUUAUUAUCAUUAUGAUUGCAUUAAUUAACUUUGCAUUAAGUCAUGAUCAUUGCAUUAAACCAUAUAAUAAUCACUUCAUUGAAGCAGUUAUUGAAGCUGCUGAUAUUACAUUAAAGUCUGUAUUACAGGUGUUAUCAUAAUUACAUAAUAUUCUUUACACAUUGCAAUUUGGUGCUUAUUAAUGAGUUGUGGCUCAGUCAAUUGAUUAGAAGGUUGAAAGCUCCGUUGGGUGUGAAUGUCCCGGCGAAACAUGGAGUAAGUGGCUUGGAGCUAUGGAAGGUUCAAUGCAUGCACGCCUACAAAACACAUAUAAUACAUUUAAUCAAGAAACAGGCUUGAGGGAAGGCCUGAAUGUAUUCAGCUUCUUGUUGCAGUUGAGUUUGCCCAGAUACAGGUGACAGAAGAGGUGGCCAGAUGACUACCAUCCCCAAGGACCGUCUGGAGGGUGCAGCGAGGGGCCUUAUAUGGAAAUUGUGAUAGAAAACAGGAACUUCUAUGUCUAUUUUAGUUUAUUAAAAUGAAUAUUUACUGUAACUGACAUAUCAUAAUGUUUGUAAACGCAUGAAGGGGCGUUAACCAACCCUGACGUUAUAAAAGCAAUCUGAAGUGUAUUUUUGGGCGGAGUUCUACAACUGAUGUUUGGCAGUUUGUACCUCCCCGCAUGUGUAUUCAAUAAACUCUUCCGUUUGAUUGCAUCCUUCUGGGCCUUUGGUAUUUUGUUUUGGAUCUCAGUAUUUCGAAUCGGGACAGUUUUGGUGCCGUGACCCGGAUAUCUGAGUCCAUUGACUUGGUUCUGAGGUUCUGGUGGAGAAAAACAGAGGCCAGAGGUGGUCAAGCAGGCAGACGGGACCCAGUGGUUCGGCUGAGUGUUCAGGGCCCUGACAAAAAAGAGUGAAAACAGAAACUGAAGCAGCUGAAUGAAGACACACUGGGCCAGUAAGUGAACAGGAAGACCAGUGCAGAGAUGAAAACAUUGAAAGAGAACCACAGUGAGUGUUGCAAAUGGAUGAUCAUGUGCCAAGGAAUAUCCGGUUGGAUGAAAGAGGAUCUAAAGAGCAUCCUAAAGUCUUUGCAAGAUUUGCAACAGGAAAAUAAGAAACUAGAGGGACAGAUACAGACUCUGUCCAUAAACAAAGAGGAACUGGAGCUCCUGAAUGAUGUACCAUAUGACACAGUGGAGAAUCAACUAGCCGAUGCAGUCAGGAGAACCACAUGACUGCACCAAGAAAGCUGAAGCUGAAGAAAAGUCAGAGAGACCUGGAGACUUGAAGGGGCAACAGUCAGCUCAGAGAGCAGAAGAAAUUGCACUGAGCAGGGCCCUGAGACUGGCUAAAGAAAAGAGAGCGAAGAUAUACACAGAUUCAGCUUGUGCAUUUGGGGCAGCACACGUGGAGCCCGGUCAGUGGAAGAGAGCAGGCUUCAGAGCGGCAACAAAUGCUCACAUUUCAAAGAAGAAAGAAAUGGGAGGACUGGAAAAGGUCCUGGAUGACCCAAACGAGGUCAGUAUCAUAAAAUGCAAAGGAUCCUCUCAAGCAACCACAUUGGUGGCACAAGGGAACCAGAAAGCAGAUGAGGCUGCGAAGUAAGCAGCAGGCUACAAAGGAAAGCAGCAAAUGGUGAGAUGCCGGGGUAAAAAGAGUGAGUUCGGACGAAGAAGUCCGAGAAAAGGACACCUUGAGUUGAGCAAGGUGUUUAAAUGACUCAGGAUUUCAGAGAAUCGAGUCAGCUGUGAUCUUGAGUUCUAAUGGUAAAUUGAUUUUAAAGGAAAAUCAAUGUUGACCAUGUUGAAGUAAUUGUGAAAAUAUUACUAGAUGUGCUGUGAUACAAGUGAAGAAUAAGUUGUGUACAUGGGGAUACACAAUUGUGUUGAUAUUGAUGGAUCGGCUGCAGUCCAUGUGAUAAGUUAAUACUGGGUGCAUUGAGACAAGAAA